CCUUACGGCCACACCGGCCUGAGUACGCCUGAUCUCGUCCGAUCUCGGAAGCUAAGCAGGGUCGGGCAUGGUUAGUACUGGAUGGGAGACCGCCUGGGAUACACAGGUGCUGUAAGCU
rnacentral:rRNA from 1 species